GGUCGUAUGGUGUAGUGGUUAGCACCUUGGACUUUGAAUCCAGUGACCCAGGUUCGAGUCCUGGUAUGACCU
rfam:Paramecium tetraurelia chromosome undetermined scaffold_40, whole genome shotgun sequence.